GUGGGGAAUAUUCCGCAAUGGACAAAAGUCUGACGGAGCAACGCCGCGUGAGUGAUGAAGGUUUUCGGACUGUAAAGCUCUGUUGUUUAGGACGAAAGUGCCUGUUGCGAACAGUUACAGGUAUUGACGGUACUAAACGAGGAAGCCACGGCUAACUACGUGCCAGCAGCCGCGGUAAUACGUAGGUGGCAAGCGUUGUCCGGAAUUAUUGGGCGUAAAGAGCAUGUAGGCGGAGAUUUAAGUCUGUUGUGAAAAUGCGGGGCUCAACCCCGUAUUGCGAUGGAAACUGAAUUGCUUGAGUGCAGGAGAGGAAAGGGGAAUUCCCAGUGUAGCGGUGAAAUGCGUAGAUAUUAGGAGGAACACCAGUGGCGAAGGCGGCUUUCUGGACUGUAACUGACACUGAGGCACGAAAGCGUGGGGAGCAAACAGGAUUAGAUACCCGGGUAGUCC
rnacentral:rRNA from 1 species